rnacentral:lncRNA from 1 species
CGUGUAAUUGUACAUGACAUAAUAAUAACAACAACAACGUUCAAAACAACUUUUCUAUUUAUAUAUAUUUUGAUCUUACAAGGGUGAUUUUGAUACUAUAUUUACAUAUAUAUAACACACCACAAUAUGAAAAUAGUACUGGAAUCUUAAUAACCACAAUGGAAUUUAUUAAUUCUUCUAAUACAUGAAAUUAUUAAGUUCAAUUGUAAUAAUCUUGUUGGAUUAAAAAAAAAAAAAAACAUUAUUGUUACCUUAAUAAGUCAAGUUGUAAUGCCAUUAAAAAUAAUUAUACUCAAUUACGAAGUUGUGUUGUGAAGAAUCAAUUAUUAGCGAAGAGUUUAUCGUUGUGCCAAUUUUAUCGUUGAGACAAUUAAUUAACUGUUCCAUACAGAUAUAUUAAAAUCAAUGGGGAAAAAAUACAACGUGAUUGAAAAAAAUAACACAGUUAUAUAUAAAUAAAGAAAAAUUAAUCUCUCUAAUUUUUAAACGAAAAUCAUUACUCUACGUAUUAAUGGAACGAUGCUGGCCAUUAUCCAAUAUUAAAGAAUAAUUAUAUGUCAUAUUUAACUCAGUGAUAUAUAUUGCAUGAACUCUCUAACGCAAUUAUAUUGGAUUUUAUAACAAAGAAAAAUUAAUUCCUAAAGGCACAUCAAAAAGAGUUACAUAUUUUAUAAUACAGAUAUUAAUCAUGGAACACUAGGUUGUGUAGAAUCCAAUAAUGAAUUUAAUAAAAAAAUUAUUAUUUUAACGAA